AUUGAACGCUGGCGGCAGGCCUAACACAUGCAAGUCGAGCGGGGUUUUCGGACCUAGCGGCGGACGGGUGAGUAAUGCGUAGGAAGCUACCCGAUAGAGGGGGAUACCAGUUGGAAACGACUGUUAAUACCGCAUAAUGUCUACGGACCAAAGUGUGGGACCUUCGGGCCACAUGCUAUCGGAUGCGCCUACGUGGGAUUAGCUAGUUGGUGAGGUAAUGGCUCACCAAGGCGACGAUCCCUAGCUGGUUUGAGAGGAUGAUCAGCCACACUGGAACUGAGACACGGUCCAGACUCCGACGGGAGGCAGCAGUGGGGAAUAUUGGACAGUGGGCGCAAGCCUGAUCCAGCCAUGCGGCGUGUGUGAAGAAGGCCUUCGGGUUGUAAAGCACUUUCAGUAGGGAGGAAGGGUUAAGUGUUAAUAGUACUUAACUUUGACGUUACCUACAGAAGAAGCACCGGCUAACUCUGUGCCAGCAGCCGCAGUAAGAC
rnacentral:rRNA from 1 species